GGAGGCGGAUACGGAGGCGGAUCCGGCGGAGGGUAUGGUGGUGGUUAUGGCGGUGGGUAUGGUGGCGGAUACGGAGGCGGAUAUGGCGGAGGGUAUGGUGGAGGCUACGGACGCCACUACUGGAAGAAAUACUAAAGGACUAGUUGAUUUAUGCAGCAAAUAUGCUGCCCAACGACUGACCAACGGAUACGAGACCUGAUCGUCACCUGACACUUUUUGUUGUUUAGCUGAAAAUAAUAAACAUAUUUUAGCAUCAAA